GAACAUUGAGCCUUGAUGUGUAGGAUAGGUGGGAGGCUUUGAAGUGUGGACGCCAGUCUGCAUGGAGCCGACCUUGAAAUACCACCCUUUAAUGUUUGAUGUUCUAACGUUGACCCGUGAUCCGGGUUGCGGACAGUGUCUGGUGGGUAGUUUGACUGGGGCGGUCUCCUCCUAAAGAGUAACGGAGGAGCACGAAGGUUGGCUAAUCCUGGUCGGACAUCAGGAGGUUAGUGCAAUGGCAUAAGCCAGCUUGACUGCGAGCGUGACGGCGCGAGCAGGUGCGAAAGCAGGUCAUAGUGAUCCGGUGGUUCUGAAUGGAAGGGCCAUCGCUCAACGGAUAAAAGGUACUCCGGGGAUAACAGGCUGAUACCGCCCAAGAGUUCAUAUCGACGGCGGUGUUUGGCACCUCGAUGUCGGCUCAUCACAUCCUGGGGCUGAAGUAGGUCCCAAGGGUAUGGCUGUUCGCCAUUUAAAGUGGUACGCGAGCUGGGUUUAGAACGUCGUGAGACAGUUCGGUCCCUAUCUGCCGUGGGCGCUGGAGAACUGAGGGGGGCUGCUCCUAGUACGAGAGGACCGGAGUGGACGCAUCACUGGUGUUCGGGUUGUCAUGCCAAUGGCACUGCCCGGUAGCUAAAUGCGGAAGAGAUAAGUGCUGAAAGCAUCUAAGCACGAAACUUGCC
rnacentral:rRNA from 1 species